AGCAUAUCAAUAAGCGGAGGAAAAGAAACCAACAGGGAUUGCCCUAGUAACGGCGAGUGAAGCGGCAACAGCUCAAAUUUGAAAUCUGGCUCUUUCAGAGUCCGAGUUGUAAUUUGCAGAGGGCGCUUUGGCUUUGGCAGCGGUCCAAGUUCCUUGGAACAGGACGUCACAGAGGGUGAGAAUCCCGUACGUGGUCGCUAGCUAUUGCCGUGUAAAGCCCCUUCGACGAGUCGAGUUGUUUGGGAAUGCAGCUCUAAAUGGGAGGUAAAUUUCUUCUAAAGCUAAAUAUUGGCCAGAGACCGAUAGCGCACAAGUAGAGUGAUCGAAAGAUGAAAAGCACUUUGGAAAGAGAGUCAAACAGCACGUGAAAUUGUUGAAAGGGAAGCGCUUGCAGCCAGACUUGCUUGCAGUUGCUCAUCCGGGCUUUUGCCCGGUGCACUCUUCUGUAGGCAGGCCAGCAUCAGUUUGGGCGGUGGGAUAAAGGUCUCUGUCACGUACCUCUCUUCGGGGAGGCCUUAUAGGGGAGACGACAUACCACCAGCCUAGACUGAGGUCCGCGCAUCUGCUAGGAUGCUGGCGUAAUGGCUGUAAGCGGCCCGUCUUGAAACACGGACCAAGGAGUCUAACAUCUAUGCGAGUGUUUGGGUGUCAAGCCCGAGCGCGUAAUGAAAGUGAACGGAGGUGGGAACCCGCAAGGGUGCACCAUCGACCGAUCCUGAAGUUUACGGAAGGAUUUGAGUAAGAGCAUGGCUGUUGGGACCCGAAAGAUGGUGAACUAUGCUUGAAUAGGGUGAAGCCAGAGGAAACUCUGGUGGAGGCUCGCAGCGGUUCUGACGUGCAAAUCGAUCGUCAAAUUUGGGCAUAGGGGCGAAAGACUAAUCGAACUAUCUAGUAGCUGG
rnacentral:rRNA from 1 species